CUCUUUUAUAAGGUCAGUAAUCCCAUUCAUGAGGGUCUGUCCUCAUAACCUAAUCACCUCCCAAAGGCCUUACCUUCUAAUACUACUACCUUGGGGAUCAAGUUUCAACACAUGAAUUUUAGGGGACAUAAACAUUCAGUCUAUAGGAAAGAGUUAAAUGCAGUCCAGGCAACAGAUUAGUCCUAAUUUGAUAGUGGAUUAAAAGAUCAUGCUGUACCAACACUGUACAAUGGAACUUUUUGCAAUGAAGGAACUGUUCUGUAUCUGCAUUGUCUAAUGUGGCAGUCACCAGUCACAUGUAGCUAUUGGGCACUUGAAAUGUGGCUAGUGUGACGGAGAAACUAAAUACUUAAUUUUAUUUAAUUCUGAAUUACUUAAAUUAAAGUAGCUACAGCUUUAGAGUAUUGGGUUUUUAACCAAAUAAAUUGUUUCAGUUCCAUGAAUAUAAAACCACUUCCUGAGACUCAAAGUCUUUGUUAAAGUCAAGGAUCCAAUCAUAGCAAUCACAGAUAAGAGAGUAAAUUAUAUUAUCUUCUAAAUGGUUUAGCGAUAUUGUGCAGAGUUCCUCAAGCACAAUGAAGGAUAGUCACUGAAGCACUGCUUGUCAUAAAAGAUGAUCUAAAAGCCCAUAUGUAGGAAGCAGAUAAAAUAAACCAGGACACUGUGGUAGGCAGAAUAAUGCCCCCUGCAAAGAUAUCCACAUCCUAAUCCCGGGAAUCUGUGAAUACCUUCCAUGGCAAAAGAGACAUUUCAGCUGGAUCUUGAUUAAGCAUCUGGAGUUGGGGAGACUAUUAUCCUGAAUGAUCCAGGAGGGCCCAAUGUAAUCACAAGGCAGGAGUGUAACAGCCAGAGAGAAUGAGAUGUGAUCACAGACACAAAAGUCACAGCGAUAGCACUGGUGAAUGGAGGCCAUGAGCCAAGGAAUGAGGGCAGCCUCUAGGCUGGAAAAGGCAAGAAAAUGGAUUUUGCCCUAGAACUGCCAGAAAGAAUGCAUUCCUGAGGACACCUCAAUUUCCACCCAGUGAGACCAAUUUUGGACUUCUCACUUCCAGAACCACAAGAUAAUAAAUAUGUAUUGUUUUAAGCCACAAUAUUUGUGAUGCUUUGUUAUAGAAACAAUAGGAAACUAAUACAAGUACUUCUACAUAUAAUGGAAUACUAUGCAGCCAUUUAACAGAAUGAAGAGCACCUACACAUUUUCAUACAGGAAGAUCCCCAUGACAUAUUAUUAAAUGAAACACAUAAAAGUCUCAGACAAUGUGAAUAUCAUGCUACCCCUUGGUUACAGGGGACAUACACAUGGGCCUGUACAUAGCUGGAAGGCAAAACAAAAAGUGAGUAAUAGUGAUUGCCUCUGGGAAGGAGCACGCUGGGGAGGGUGUGGUCCUUGUGGGAAGCAGGACUUACUUUUCACGAUGUACUUCUGAGAACUGUAUUACAUUUUGAGAACUGUCACUAGAUAGAAAAUCCGUUUCCACACCAAAUUCUUUGGGGAAGAAGAUGAAGAAACCAUAUUAAGCCCUAUUGGCAUUUUGCAGGUGUGUUGCUCUAAACUUCAGGGGAGAGUAGAUAAAUAACAUUCCCUGACAUGAGCAAUUAGCUGCUGAGUGUGAGAACUGCUCAUUUCUGGCCCAGCGCAGCCAGACUUGAAGUUCAGAUGGAAGCUGAGAGAGAAUAAAAAAAAAAAAAAAAA
ensembl:lncRNA